rnacentral:rRNA from 1 species
UACGUAGGGGGCUAGCGUUAUCCGGAAUUACUGGGCGUAAAGGGUGCGUAGGUGGGUUCUUAAGUCAGAAGUGAAAGGCUACGGCUCAACCGUAGUAAGCUUUUGAAACUGAGAAACUUGAGUGCAGGAGAGGAGAGUAGAAUUCCUAGUGUAGCGGUGAAAUGCGUAGAUAUUAGGAGGAAUACCAGUAGCGCAGGUGGCUCUCUGGACUGUAAUUGACCCUCGGGCACGAAAGCGUGGGGAGCAAACAGG